UACACAAUGAUACAGGAUUCUGCACAGAGAC
rnacentral:piRNA from 1 species